GUGUAAGAGGAGGGAAGCUGAGAGCCUUGUGGUAAUAGUGAAUGGCGAGGUGUGUCUGUAGUAUAUACCUCUAGUGUAAGAGGAGGGAAGCUGAGAGCCUUGUGGUAAUAGUGAAUGGCGAGGUGUGUCUGUAGUAUAUACCUCUAGUGUAAGAGGAGGGAAGCUGAGAGCCUUGUGGUAAUAGUGAAUGGCGAGGUGUGUCUGUAGUAUAUACCUCUAGUGUAAGAGGAGGGAAGCUGAGAGCCUUGUGGUAAUAGUGAAUGGAGAGGUGUGUCUGUAGUAUAUACCUCUAGUGUAAGAGGAGGGAAGCUGAGAGCCUUGUGGUAAUAGUGAAUGGCGAGGUGUGUCUGUAGUAUAUACCUCUAGUGUAAGAGGAGGGAAGCUGAGAGCCUUGUG